rnacentral:rRNA from 1 species
AACGAACGCUGGCGGCAGGCCUAACACAUGCAAGUCGAACGCUGUAGCAAUACAGAGUGGCAGACGGGUGAGUAACGCGUGGGAACCUUCCCAAUGGUGCGGAAUAGCUCAGGGAAACUUGAGGUAAUACCGCAUAAGCCCUUAGGGGGAAAGAUUUAUCGCCAUUGGAUGGGCCCGCGUCGGAUUAGCUAGUUGGUGAGGUAAUGGCUCACCAAGGCAACGAUCCGUAGCUGGUUUGAGAGAAUGACCAGCCACACUGGGACUGAGACACGGCCCAGACUCCUACGGGAGGCAGCAGUGGGGAAUCUUGGACAAUGGGCGCAAGCCUGAUCCAGCCAUGCCGCGUGAGUGACGAAGGCCUUAGGGUUGUAAAGCUCUUUUGCCGGGGACGAUAAUGACGGUACCCGGAGAAUAAGUCCCGGCUAACUUCGUGCCAGCAGCCGCCGUAACAC